rnacentral:rRNA from 1 species
GAUGAACGCUGGCGGCGUGCCUAAUACAUGCAAGUCGAGCGAACGGACGAGAAGCUUGCUUCUCUGAUGUUAGCGGCGGACGGGUGAGUAACACGUGGAUAACCUACCUAUAAGACUGGGAUAACUUCGGGAAACCGGCGCUAAUACCGGAUAAUAUUUUGAACCGCAUGGUUCAAAAGUGAAAGACGGUCUUGCUGUCACUUAUAGAUGGAUCCGCGCUGCAUUAGCUAGUUGGUAAGGUAACGGCUUACCAAGGCAACGAUGCAUAGCCGACCUGAGAGGGUGAUCGGCCACACUGGAACUGAGACACGGUCCAGACUCCUACGGGAGGCAGCAGUAGGGAAUCUUCCGCAAAGGGCGAAAGCCUGACGGAGCAACGCCGCGUGAGUGAUGAAGGUCUUCGGAUCGUAAAACUCUGUUAUUAGGGAAGAACAUAUGUGUAAGUAACUGUGCACAUCUUGACGGUACCUAAUCAGAAAGCCACGGCUAACUACGUG